CGCGAAUUCGCCCUUCGGGGUGCACCAGGCGCGAAAACUUUACAAUGCUGGCAACAGCGAUAAGGGGACCUCGAGUGCCAGGUUACAAAUCUGGCUGUCGUGAUGCCUAAAAAGCAUUGCAUAGCAAGGGCCGGGCAAGACCGGUGCCAGCCGCCGCGGUAACACCGGCGGCUCGAGUGGUAACCGUUAUCAUUGGGUCUAAAGGGUCUGUAGCCGGCCGGAUAAGUCUCUUGGGAAAUCCAGCAGCUCAACUGUUGGGCUUUCAGGAGAUACUGUCUGGCUCGAGGCCGGGAGAGGUGAGAGGUACUUCAGGGGUAGGGGUGAAAUCUUGUAAUCCUUGAAGGACCACCAGUGGCGAAGGCGUCUCACCAGAACGGACCUGACGGCAAGGGACGAAAGCUAGGGGCACGAACCGGAUUAGAUACCCGGGUAGUCCUAGCCGUAAACGAUACUCGCUAGGUGUCGGCCACGGUGCGACCGUUGUCGGUGCCGUAGGGAAGCCGUGAAGCGAGCCACCUGGGAAGUACGGCCGCAAGGCUGAAACUUAAAGGAAUUGGCGGGGGAGCAC
rnacentral:rRNA from 1 species